rnacentral:rRNA from 1 species
GACGAACGCUGGCGGCGCGCCUAACACAUGCAAGUCGAACGAGCGAGAGAGAGCUUGCUUUCUCGAGCGAGUGGCGAACGGGUGAGUAACGCGUGAGGAACCUGCCUCAAAGAGGGGGACAACAGUUGGAAACGACUGCUAAUACCGCAUAAGCCCACGGCUCGGCAUCGAGCAGGGGGAAAAGGAGCAAUCCGCUUUGAGAUGGCCUCGCGUCCGAUUAGCUAGUUGGUGGGGUAACGGCCCACCAAGGCGACGAUCGGUAGCCGGACUGAGAGGUUGAACGGCCACAUUGGGACUGAGACACGGCCCAGACUCCUACGGGAGGCAGCAGUGGGGAAUAUUGCACAAUGGGGGAAACCCUGAUGCAGCGACGCCGCGUGGAGGAAGAAGGUCUUCGGAUUGUAGACUCCUGUUGUUGGGGAAGAUAAUGACGGUACCCAACAAGGAAGUGACGGCUAACUACGUG